rnacentral:sRNA from 1 species
AGCAGCCGCGGUAAUUCCAGCUCCAAUAGCGUAUAUUAAAGUUGUUGCAGUUAAAAAGCUCGUAGUUGAAUUUCGGGGUCAGUAGGCUGGUCGUGCCACAGGUACGCACUGGUCUCACUGAUUCCUCCUUCCUGAUGAACCGUAAUGCCAUUAAUUUGGUGUUGCGGGGAGACUGGACUGUUACUUUAGAAAAAUUAGAGUGUUUAAAGCAGGCAAGCGCUUGAAUACAUUAGCAUGGAAUAAUGAAAUAGGACGUUCGAUCCUAUUUUGUUGGUUUCUAGGAUUGACGUAAUGAUUAAUAGGGAUAGUUGGGGGCAUUAGUAUUCAAUUGUCAGAGGUGAAAUUCUUGGAUUUAUUGAAGACUAACUACUGCGAAAGCAUUUGCCAAGGAUGUUUUCAUUAAUCAAGAACGAAAGUUAGGGGAUCGAAGACGAUCAGAUACCGUCGUAGUCUUAACCAUAAACUAUGCCGACUAGGGAUCGGAUGAUGUUAAUUUUUAAUGUA